rnacentral:rRNA from 16 species
AUCAUCUGCUGGAUAAUGGCUGAACGCCUCUAAGCCAGAAUCCGUGCUUGAAAACGAUGAUGUAUUGUCCCGCGCAUUGCUUAGUUGCGUUAGAAUAGAGCUUCGUGCUCGAGAACCACAUUUGAGCGACCCUUUGUUGAGCGGAAAGGCUUGAUGAAGGUGCUUGUCUUGUAUUGAAAACAUGUGCGGGGAUGAAUCCUUUGCAGACGACUUGAAUCGGAACGGGGUACUGUAAGCAGUAGAGUAGC